ensembl:lncRNA
AUUCGAUCGCUCAUUCUCUCAGUUCUCAGUUCUUCAUCUGGUGCUUUUUGGAAUGGACUUUACAUUUAAUUCUUUAAACAUAGCGCAUUUGAAUGUAGGGGCAUUCGAGAAAAUAGUUACGAAGCGAAAGGCUUUUUCUUUCUUCAAAAGGACUGAUGCGGACACAAUUUUCUGUCAAGAAAAAAAAAUUUGGAAAUCUCGUGGUUUUUUUUUUUUUUUUUUCAGCCUCGGCACUUCAAAUUCAGCAGGAGUUAUGGUUUUGAAGAACAGAUUUAAAGGAGACGAUCUUAGCAUUGUUACAUGAACGGAUUAUGACGCAGUGGUGCCCUGGGCACGAACCGAUUAAAGGCCCCCUCGGUAAUUUUUCCUUUUUAUUCGAAAUAUUUCCAGACGUGUUAACUGCCUCGAUUCUCAGAUAUGUGUCGCGAAGUAAUGUGCCCCCACGAGCCCCAGAGCGGAGUGGGGCCUUCCAGGGGAACAGGCCAGGGACACGGGAGGGCGCAGUGGCUGCGGUUCCAUCGGCCCCUUUCUCCUCUCUCCACCAAUCUUUUGGCCAUCCUUCUGCCGCUGGGGUGGCGGGAAGGCCUGGGCCGGCCUGCUGGAGAUGCGGGUACCCGGGUCAUUUUCUGGACCGGUGUCCAAUGAUGGAGGUGGGAGCGGUGAUCCGGGUUCCCGACUCCCCGGCGGCUGCCCCCGAUCAAGCUGGGCUGUACCAAAUACCUGUGAGUAUUAACCCUCUGAGGUCUAAGGGUAUUUUUUGGGCCUGGAGAAGUUUUGUCAUGCCCUGACAUUUGUGCUUUUUUCAGUUUCUUAUAAACAUCUAAUGGCUAAAGUCUAAUCUCACUGUAAUCAGCACAAACUGGGCUAUAAUAAUAUGUAAGCAGCAUGUAUUUACAUGAUUGUGUUUUUGAGAAAAAAAUUUUUAUGUGUGGUUAGUGAAAAACUAAACAUGUUAAAUCACUUGAAUAAGGCAAUAAAACACAUACAGAACAUUGGCUCCCGG